rnacentral:tmRNA from 1 species
GGGGGUGCACAGGUUUCGACUGGAAAAAUAGUGUGUUAGUGGCAUGCAGAGGUUUAUCGGUUGGCCUCUUAAAAAGCCGAUAAAAAACAUAAACGGCAAAGAAAACACUCUUGCUAUGGCUGCAUAAGACCUAACAGUUUUAUGUGCUCGACGUAUAUAAGAUCUGAUCGAGAGUCUUGUAAGUACGUUGUUAUAUAAUCUUGAUGCGAAUGGUAUCUAUUCUUACUAGAUCUUAGAUGCCAUUUUUAAAAUAAGAUUUGGUAAUCGAUCCCUUUGUAGGGAGUCUUAUACCAGGAUCGAUUUAUAUUUAAGACUCUAAGCAUGUAGUCAUUGAUAAUUACGUUUUUUUAGGACGAGAGUUCGAUUCUCUCCACCUCCA